AGGCAGAGUGAAUAAAAGCUGGGGAAAAGGGGGACGCGCUCUUUCUCCCUCUCUCCCCUCCUGGAUCCACGCGGACACCGUAUAAAGGUCGUGACCUCUGUUCCCCUGCCCCCUGCACGGAGGAUGGGGAUGAUGAUGAUGAUGGUCCUGAACGCCGCCAUCAAACAAGACGUGCCCCCUGCACUGAUGAUGGGGAUGAUGAUGAUGAUGAUGAUGAUGACCAAAGACCAACCACAUCUAUGAAAGCAACAGACAACGUUGUUGUAAACCAAAAGAAAAAGCAUUUACAGUCUGGACUGAUCUCCAUCUUCUGUCAUUUACGGAUCCACCCACUGAGACUGGACUGCACAGGAAAAGGCUGCAGUUAUUUUAACACCAAGUCCCUGGAAGAAAGCUUGCCUGGAUUGCUUUAACUAUUUAUAUUUUUAACUAUUUAUCUCUUUAACUAUUUAUGUCUUUUAUCUAGAGUGUUAACUGGUGUUUAUCAUCUCACUGCUUUCUUCCUUUCUGUGUAUUUUAUGUAUGUAAAUUGCUGUUUUUAAAGGUGCUAUACAAAUAAAA